rnacentral:rRNA from 1 species
UACGGAGGGGGCUAGCGUUGUUCGGAAUUACUGGGCGUAAAGCGCACGUAGGCGGCUUUGUAAGUUAGAGGUGAAAGCCCAGGGCUUAACCCUGGAAUUGCCUUUAAGACUGCAUCGCUAGAAUCGUGGAGAGGUGAGUGGAAUUCCGAGUGUAGAGGUGAAAUUCGUAGAUAUUCGGAAGAACACCAGUGGCGAAGGCGACUUACUGGACACAUAUUGACGCUGAGGUGCGAAAGCGUGGGGAGCAAACAGGG